GGGGAUUUAGCUCAGCGGCAUAAGCGCCUGCCUUGGAAGCAGGUAGUUUCAAGUUCAAUCCCUG
rfam:Cavia porcellus supercont2_36 genomic scaffold, whole genome shotgun sequence.